rnacentral:rRNA from 1 species
UUUUCAGAGAGUUUGAUCCUGGCUCAGGAUAAACGCUGGCGGCGUGCAUAACACAUUCAAGUCGAACGGAUUUAUCGGACAGCUUGCUGUUUGAGAAGAUUAGUGGCGGACGGGUGAGUAACGCGUGAGCAACCUGCCUUUGUGAGGGGAAUAACACAGGGAAACUUGUGCUAAUACCGCAUGACGCAUCGGUGAUGCAUGUUACUGAUGUUAAAGGAGCAAUCCGCACAAAGAUGGGCUCGCGUCUGAUUAGAUAGUUGGUG